rnacentral:rRNA from 1 species
AGAGUUUGAUCCUGGCUCAGAACGAACGCUGGCGGCGUGGAUUAGGCAUGCAAGUCGAGCGGGAUCGUCUUGCUUCAAUCCUUCGGGAGAGAAGCUUGACGUGAGAGCGGCGAACGGGUGAGUAACACGUGGGCAAUCUGCCCUGAAGUUUGGGAUAGCCCGCCGAAAGGCGGAUUAAUACCAAAUGUGGUCGUUUCACGCAUGUGAGACUUUCUAAAGGUGGGGAUCUUCGGACCUGCCUCUUCAGGAUGAGCCCGCGUUCUAUCAGCUUGUUGGUGAGGUAACGGCUCACCAAGGCUACGACGGAUAGCUGGUUUGAGAGAAUGGUCAGCCACACUGGGACUGAGACACUGCCCAGACUCCUACGGGAGGCUGCAGUCGAGGAUCUUGGACAAUGUGCGAAAGCAUGAUCCAGCGACGCCGCGUGCAGGAUGAAGGCCUUCGGGUCGUAAACUGCUGUCAUAAGGGAGAAAAGCUUUGAGAUUAAUAAUCUCAGAGUUUGAUAGUACCUUAAGAGGAAGCCACGGCUAACUCUGUGCCAGCAGCCGCGGUAAUACAGAGGUGGCGAGCGUUGUUCGGAAUUACUGGGCGUAAAGGGUGCGUAGGCGGCAUGGUAUGUCGAAUGUGAAAGCUCACGGCUUAACCGUGGAAUUGCAUUCGAAACUGCCAAGCUAGAGUACUGGAGAGGAGAGCGGAAUUCUUGGUGUAGCGGUGAAAUGCGUAGAGAUCAAGAAGAACGCCGGCGGCGAAGGCGGCUCUCUGGACAGAUACUGACGCUGA